CUGGGCCAUUGGCCCAAAUUUUUAAGCCUCAUGCAUCUAAAUUUUGGAGCCAAAAUUGUGACAUGUGAAGGUUAACAUAGCACUUAAGACAUAUUCAGUACAUUGUAUUAUAUCAGCCAGACUGACAAUAUAAACUAUGUGGAAUAGAAAAUGGGACAUGCACUGGCGCACCCUGUACCUUUUCCUCGUGGCGCUAGGUAUAUAAGAUUGUAUUUAGUCUAAUCGAAGACAUUGACGAUUCCCUAAAUGUGCCCCUAUGUAUGCAGUGCCUCCGCUGACAUCAAAGGAUAAAGCAAAGACCUCAGCAAUAAAUUCCCAAUCUGACACCA